rnacentral:lncRNA from 10 species
AGAGCUGUAUACCUAAAUCAGGAGGGACUCCAGGGAUAAAACUCCCUGGGUUAUAGCCUAGGUGCCUAAGGACACAGCAUAGAGCUUCCUUAGAUCCCUUUGGAGAUACAACUUGCUAGAGGAAAUGAAAGUCUGAACCAUUAGUACCUAGGAGGCAGGGAUCAGAGGAGUAGAUUCAGAGAACUUCCAAGAUGGUGGCUAGCAGCUUCCAAGAUGGUGGUGGGCCGCUUCCAAGAUGGUGGCAAGCCUCGUGUUCUCUGACCUGGGGUUCUUGGCCUCACGGAUCCCAAGGAAUGGAAUCCUGGGCCAUGCCAGGUCGGAGUCGGAUUGUCGGUGAGGAGGCAAAGGUGGAGGUGGGCAGAAGCGACCUCAGGUCAGGGUCUCCACUGUGGUGAAGAGUUGCUGUUCAAAGUUUGCCCGUGAGUCUCAAAAUAAACAAGACUAUUGCCC